UUGCGCCACCAGGGAGGCCCUGAUGAAGUGUUUUAAGAGGCUAACAUAGAAAAGUAAAGUAAGUCUCCAUAAAACCCAGAGAAGAGAUUGUAAACACCUCUUUGGAUCCUGUCUGGAGUCACAGCU